GACGAACGCUGGCGGCGUGCUUAACACAUGCAAGUCGAACGGAAAGGCCUGCUUUCCCUUGUGGAUUGCGGGUACUCGAGUGGCGAACGGGUGAGUAACACGUGAGUGAUCUGCCCCCAACUUGGGUAUAAGCCUGGGAAACUGGGUCUAAUUCCCGAUAGGACUGCAGGGUGGUGCCUGUGGUGGAAAACGAUUUUCUAGUGGUUGGGGAUGAGCUCGCGGCCUAUCAGCUUGUUGGUGGGGUAAUGGCCUACCAAGGCGGCGACGGGUAGCCGGCCUGGGGGGGUGGACGGCCACAUGGGGACUGAGAUACGGCCCAGACUCCUACGGGAGGCAGCAGUGGGGAAUAUUGCACGAUGGGCGGAAGCCUGAUGCAGCGACGCCGCGUGGGGGAUGACGGCCUUCGGGUUGUAAACUCCUUUCGACAGCGAGGAAGCCACCUGGUUGGAAGGGUGGUGACGGUAGUGGUAGAAGAAGCACCGGCUAACUACGUG
rnacentral:rRNA from 1 species